ACACUGAGGUCUGAAUUUACAAAGCAGCUCACCUCAAUCCAAGAGAAACAGAAAACAUUGGAGCAAAAUGUGAAGGAGGUGGAGAACACCAUGGGGAAGCUCUCCACUGAGCUGAAGAAAAAAAAAGUGCUCCAGACUGAGAUGGAACCCCUUUUGAAAGCAGUUAAGGAAACAUUUGCUCAGAU